rnacentral:rRNA from 1 species
UACGGAGGAUGCGAGCGUUAUCCGGAUUUAUCGGGUUUAAAGGGUGCGUAGGCGGAUCGUUAAGUCAGUGGUCAAAUUGAGGGGCUCAACCCCUUCCCGCCAUUGAAACUGGCGAUCUUGAGUGGAAGAGAAGUAUGCGGAAUGCGUGGUGUAGCGGUGAAAUGCAUAGAUAUCACGCAGAACCCCGAUUGCGAAGGCAGCAUGCCGGCUUCCGACUGACGCUGAAGCACGAAAGCGUGGGGAUCGAACAGG